rnacentral:tRNA from 1 species
UAGUACAGUGGUUAAAGCUCUUGGCUGCUAACCAAAAGGCUGGUGGUUUGAAUCCACC